rnacentral:rRNA from 1 species
GCCCGCCAGAGGACCCCUAAACUCUGUUUCUAUAUGUAACUUCUGAGUAAAACCAUAAAUAAAUCAAAACUUUCAACAACGGAUCUCUUGGUUCUGGCAUCGAUGAAGAACGCAGCAAAAUGCGAUAAGUAAUGUGAAUUGCAGAAUUCAGUGAAUCAUCGAAUCUUUGAACGCACAUUGCGCCCGCCAGUAUUCUGGCGGGCAUGCCUGUUCGAGCGUCAUUUCAACCCUCAAGCCCUCGGGUUUGGUGUUGGGGAUCGGCGAGCCCUUGCGGCAAGCCGGCCCCGAAAUCUAGUGGCGGUCUCGCUGCAGCUUCCAUUGCGUAGUAGUAAAACCCUCGCAACUGGUACGCGGCGCGGCCAAGCCGUUAAACCCCCAACUUCUGAAUGUUGACCUCGGAUCAGGUAGGAAUACCCGCUGAACUUAAGCAUAUCAAUAAGCGGAGGAA